rnacentral:lncRNA from 1 species
AUUAACUACACAGCCUUGGAUAAAUCCAUCUUCCCAUCUGUAGCAUAUGGAUGAUUGCACCUACGUUGCAAGUUCAAGGUGAAGAAUGAACAAUGCAGAGCCUCAGCAUAGUUCUUGGCCCAUACAACAUGCUAGCUAACUUAUUCUAAUCCAUAGUUUUUAAAAGACAAUUCUGAAGUCAGGCUGUGGAAAUGGAUCCGAAGCCAAGAUGCAAAAAGACGCUGUUUUUCCAGGGAUCUAUCACCAGUUUAAAUUGGUGUGAACAAUCAAGAAAGGUCAGUGUCAGGAGGAAAACAAGCAACUAAAGAGCAAGUAAAAAUAUUAACCUCUCUGGAAUAGAAUGUUUAAUGCGUUAGCCCUGUACUAAGCUAAUUAAGUCAUGAAUGUCCAGUAUGGAAAAAGCAUAUAAUUUCUAACUUGAGAUUCCUUUCCAUUGUAGUAAAAAUUGCUUUAAAGGUUGUAAUGGUGGUUGCUAUAGGCAACAGCAAUCACAAUGUGGAAAAAGAUGCAAGGGGGGGAAAAAGCAAUAAUACUAUAGCGAAUCAGUCUUUGCAGAAAUUCUGUAUUCCCAUUUCCCAUUCCCUUUCUCUGUUCUGAAUUUUGGUGGCAGGAUAAAUUUAGUAGAGAUAAGUAGAAGAAAAGAUCUGGCCUAAGGUUGCAUAAACUAUUCAACAAAAGAUGGCCUUUUCUCUGGAUAGCCAUCCUCUUCAGUCAAGGGGCUGGAGGAGGAGAGCUAAGAUAGGAAACAGCACUGUCCAGCCAGUACAACAAGCCCUAUCAAUUAUGGGGUGAUAGAUGUCCCAGUUGGCCCUAAUCUCUGUAAGCAAAAUCUUGUGGGUAAAAAGAUCAAUUCAUCUGACCAUGAUUCAAAAGCAUUACUACCUCUUUGAACCCUGUGUGGUAAUAAAAAUUUCAGUUCAAGAAUUACACUAACUUACUAAUAAUUAAUGUUAAAUACUAAUUAAUGAUUGAUAGGAAAGACCUUCAAAUGAAUUAUCGACUAAAAGAGACUUCAAUACUUUUGAAAUUUACACAUUCUGUGAAUUUACUAGGUAAAUCUCUGUGGAAUAAAAAAGAUCAGAGAUGGAAAAAAACAAACUCACCCAUUGAGACUGAAAAAUGUCACAGAGAAAUAGUGAUUGAAUUGGGAAAGCAAUUCAACUCUGCUCCUUCUCUGAACAUCCAUACAAAGCCAAAUGCUACUUUCUUACUGUGGCCCAUGGAUUAUUUUUAGUUAUCAAAAUUUUGAACUAAUAAAUUAUUUCUGUAAUUUCA